AUACGGAGGAUCCGAGCGUUAUCCGGAUUUAUUGGGUUUAAAGGGUGCGCAGGCGGCCAUUUAAGUCAGCGGUUAAAUCGUGGGGCUCAACCCCAUUCUGCCGUUGAUACUGGGUGGCUUGAUUGCGGUCGAGGUUGGCGGAAUUCGUUGUGUAGCGGUGAAAUGCAUAGAUAUCACGAAGAACUCCGAUUGCGAAGGCAGCCUACUAAACUGCCACUGACAUUGAUGCUCGAAAGUGUGGGUAUCAAACAGGAUUAGAUACCCUGGUAGUCCACACGGUAAACGAUGAAUACUCGCUGUUUGCGAUAUACAGCAAGCGGCCAAGCGAAAGCGUUAAGUAUUCCACCUGGGGAGUACGCCGGCAACGGUGAAACUUAAAGGAAUUGACGGGG
rnacentral:rRNA from 1 species